rnacentral:tRNA from 1 species
GCUCUUGUAGUUCAACGGAUAGAACGUAGGUUUCCGGAACCUAAGAUAGAGGUUCGAUUCCCCUCAAGAGCA